rnacentral:rRNA from 1 species
GAUGAACGCUGGCGGCGUGCCUAAUACAUGCAAGUCGAACGAAUCUUCUUCGGAAGAUGAGUGGCGAACGGGUGAGUAAUACAUAGGUAACCUGCCCCUGUGCGGGGGAUAACAGGAGGAAACUCCUGCUAAUACCGCAUAGCCAUGAGCACCGCAUGGAGCUCAUGCCAAAUAUCCUUCAGGGGAUAGCGCAGGGAUGGACCUAUGGCGCAUUAGCUAGUUGUCGGGGCAACGGCCCACCAAGGCAACGAUGCGUAGCCGGCCUGAGAGGGCGGACGGCCACAUUGGGACUGAGACACGGCCCAGACUCCUACGGGAGGCAGCAGUAGGGAAUUUUCGGCAAUGGGGGAAACCCUGACCGAGCAACGCCGCGUGAGCGAAGAAGGCCUUCGGGUCGUAAAGCUCUGUUGUAAAGGAAGAACGUCGCAUGCAGGAAAUGGUGUGCGAGUGACGGUACUUUACCAGAAAGCCACGGCUAACUACGUGCCAGCCGCCGCAGUAACAC